rnacentral:snRNA from 1 species
GGUUUUGGUCUUAACUAACACUCUGAAUAGAAACGAUACAGAGAAGAUUAGCAUGGCCCCUGCACUAAGGAUGUAAGUCGUGUUACCUGAACAAUUAUAACUUCAU